GCCUGAAUGGCGCAGUGGUAACGCGUCGCACUUGUAAUGCGAAGAUCCGAGGUUCAAGUCCUCGUUCAGGCA
rnacentral:tRNA from 1 species